CUUCACCGAACCCAGCCACAGCGGAUGCUCGCGUUCCUGGCCGUACGUGGCGAGCAGCGCCUGCGCCUC
rnacentral:antisense_RNA from 1 species